AUGACUAUCUCUACUCCUAAUGGAGCAGUUGGUAGUCUCGCUUCCAGGCUUUUUUUCGUCCCACCUUUCAUGGCUCUCAGCCUCCCUCCCUGCGCCGCCGCUAGCACCUCCAUCCCUAGCUGGCCGCCAUCACACCCCCAGCAGCCAUGUACAGCGGGGCGGCCCAAGGAAAGGAGCUCCCCUCCCCGACCCGAUCUGAUGGAGAGAACGCCAGGCCUUGCCACUCCGGUUGUCGCUGUGGCCAGAUCCGAUCGUGGGAGCCGCCGUAGAGCCUCCAUGUCGGCGGAGCAGAGCAGUCCGACAGUGGUGGGUGCCCGAUCUCGUCCAGCAAGUCGCCGUUGGUUGCCACGACCACCUCAUUCCCUGUCGCCCCUCUCCUUCAACCAUGGUGGCGCUCCUCCCCGCAUUGUCGUCGUUGGUGGAGCUCGCCUCACCCUCCUCACCCCGUCAGCUGCAACCGCUCCUUACCUCCACGGUGCUCCUCUUCUACAUCCAACGCAGGCCAGUGAACGGCGACGACUAGGAGGCCUCUACCUCGACUCUACCGGCCGUGGUCGCCCCGCGUCUCCGCGCCCCCGCCCCUUAGCAUCGCGUCGACGCGUCGCAUCCCUCUCAACGAAGAGAGGAAGAGGUGUACGAGAGUGGGGAGAACGCUGUUCGCGGGGCCUCCAAGCACAAAGACACAAGAGGAGAAGCGGAUGUGACGGAAAUCUCACAAUCGCAUCUCCCGUCUCUCUCAUGUCAAGUCAGAAUUUCGCUAUCAUUGGUGACCACUGCAUCAUCAUCAUCGAUGGAGAUGCUAUUGAUGUCGAUGAACAUGGCUGUGUAAAAGGCAAGGACAUGGAUGGUAUUCAUGUGAGGGGAACAUGCUGGAGCAAAGGAUCUGCGUCACGGUCUUAUUUCAUUGCUGAAAAUCACAAGGAUGUAGUGGGGUGUGUCUUCCAUGAACGAGGUGCACCUGGGUAUGAUCUUGCCAUGAACAUGACAGCUUAUCAAGUUUCGUCAGAGUUAUGUUUUGGUUGGCUGAUAGCUUGCAAGAUCUUCAUCUUCUUCUAUCCGCUUCCUUCGAGUAUUCCAGGAAGUACGAGCUCAACUUUCAGGUUCAUCGGCUUAGGUGUCGUGCCUGCUCGGAAAGGAUGUGAUGGAGAUGGUGCACACGAACUGAUAUUUCUUAUAAGAAAGAGAAAUCAACAAGGAAUGAAGGGAAGGGAAGACGUGAGGAGAAAGCUCUACCUGCACAGGACACAAGAUCCUUGCCGGGAAUUCGGUUGUGCUUUGAAGAUGGCCUCUUUUGGGGUGAGGCACAACUAUAGUUGCACAGCUAAAGUUCCUAUGUUCAAAGGAAGAUCCAAGAUGGUACUCAAACAAACAGAAGAGCCAAACAUUGCAUGCUUCGACAGACGAAACCUGCCCACGGAGGUGGUGGCGCCGGUGGUAGGCGGCAAUGAGGCAACAACGCUUCAUGAGGCGGUCAAGUCUGUGGUCGUGAGCCGAUGCAUCCACCAACGCCGCAAUCGAGUCAACUUCAGGACUCCAUUAGUGAUAGUUGGCUGUGUUAAAGGAAAAAAUUAUUAG
rnacentral:rRNA from 1 species